AUUGAACGCUGGCGGCAUGCUUUACACAUGCAAGUCGAACGGCAGCGCGGGCUUCGGCCUGGCGGCGAGUAGCGAACGGGUGAGUAAUGCAUCGGAACGUGCCCAGUAGUGGGGGAUAGCCCGGCGAAAGCCGGAUUAAUACCGCAUACGACCUGCGGGUGAAAGCGGGGGACCGAAAGGCCUCGCGCUAUUGCAGCGGCCGAUGUCGGAUUAGCUAGUUGGUGGGGUAAAGGCUUACCAAGGCGACGAUCCGUAGCUGGUCUGAGAGGACGACCAGCCACACUGGGACUGAGACACGGCCCAGACUCCUACGGGAGGCAGCAGUGGGGAAUUUUGGACAAUGGGGGCAACCCUGAUCCAGCCAUGCCGCGUGCGGGAAGAAGGCCUUCGGGUUGUAAACCGCUUUUGUUCGGGAAGAAAUCCUCUGGGCUAAUACCCCGGGGGGAUGACGGUACCGGAAGAAUAAGCACCGGCUAACUACGUG
rnacentral:rRNA from 1 species